GCCUAACCAUGCAGUCGAACGGGAUUCACCUUCGGGUGAUGAGAGUGGCGCACGGGUGAGUAACGCGUAUGCAACCUUCCCCAAUCAGGGGGAUAGCCCGGAGAAAUCCGGAUUAAUACCCCAUAUUAUUAUAGUUUCGCAUGGGACUUUAAUGAAAGCUUUGGCGGUUUGGGAUGGGCAUGCGUGGCAUUAGCUUGUUGGUGAGGUAACGGCUCACCAAGGCGACGAUGCCUAGGGGUUCUGAGAGGAUGAUCCCCCACACUGGUACUGAGACACGGACCAGACUCCUACGGGAGGCAGCAGUGAGGAAUAUUGGUCAAUGGGCGCAAGCCUGAACCAGCCAUCCCGCGUGAAGGAAGACUGCCCUAUGGGUUGUAAACUUCUUUUGUACAUGAAGAACGGGCCUUACGUGUAAGGUUAUGACGGUAAUGUACGAAUAAGCAUCGGCUAACUCCGUGCCAGCAGCCGCGGUAAUACGGAGGAUGCGAGCGUUAUCCGGAUUCAUUGGGUUUAAAGGGUACGUAGGUGGCCCUGUAAGUCAGUGGUGAAAACCUGCCGCUUAACGGUAGGCGUGCCAUUGAUACUGCGGGGCUUGAGUACAGAUGAGGUAGGCGGAAUGUGUAGUGUAGCGGUGAAAUGCAUAGAUAUUACACAGAACUCCGAUUGCGAAGGCAGCUUACUAAACUGCAACUGACGCUGAUGUACGAAAGCGUGGGUAGCGAACAGGAUUAGAUACCCUGGUAGUCCACGCCGUAAACGAUGCUCACUGGCUGUAUGCGAUACACAGUAUGUGGCCAAGCGAAAGCGCUAAGUGAGCCACCUGGGGAGUACGCCGGCAACGGUGAAACUCAAAGGAAUUGACGGGGGCCCGCACAAGCGGAGGAACAUGUGGUUUAAUUCGAUGAUACGCGAGGAACCUUACCUGGGCUUAAUGGGGAGUGACGGACGCUGAAAGGUGUCUUUUCUUC
rnacentral:rRNA from 1 species